CCUGUCAUGAGGGAACGAAACCUAGCACGUUUAACUGGUGUGCAGCUGAUAGUACCUCAAGAGGAAGAGACGGCUAACUCUGUGC
rnacentral:rRNA from 1 species